UUAGCCGCUGUCACACGCAC
rnacentral:miRNA from 1 species